rnacentral:rRNA from 1 species
UCACACCAUGGGAGUGGGAUGCAAAAGAAGUGGAUAGUCUAACCUUCGGGGGGACGUUCACCACUUUGUGUUUCAUGACUGGGGUGAAGUCGUAACAAGGUAACCCUAGGGGAACCUGGGGUUGGAUCACCUCCUUACACAA